CUAACACAUUCAAGUCGAGGGGCAGCGGGGAAAAGCUUGCUUUUCCGCCGGCGACCGGCGCACGGGUGCUCACCGCGUAUGGAACCUGCCUUGUACAGGGGAAUAGCCCAGGGAAACUUGGAUUAAUGCCCCGUAGUACCGUAUUUCGGCAUCGUUAUACGGUUAAAGCCUUCGGGCGGUACAAGAUGGCCAUGCGUCCCAUUAGCUCGAUGGUAAGGUAACGGCUUACCAUGGCUACGAUGGGUAGGGGCCCUGAGAGGGGGAUCCCCCACAGUGGUACUGAGACACGGACCAGACUCCUACGGGAGGCAGCAGUGAGGAAUAUUGGACAAUGGAGGAGACUCUGAUCCAGCCAUGCCGCGUGCAGGAAGAAUGCCCUAUGGGUAGUAAACUGCUUUUAUACGGGAAGAAAAAGAGCUACGUGUAGCUUACUGACGGUAGCGUAAGAAUAAGGACCGGCUAACUCCGUGCCAGCAGCGGCGGUAAUACGGAGGGUCCGAGCGUUAUCCGGAAUUAUUGGAUUUAAAGGGUCCGUAGGCGGGCCGAUAAGUCAGGGGUGAAAGUCUGCCGCUCAACGGUAGAACUGCCUUUGAUACUGUCGGUCUUGAGUUAUAGUGAAGUUGCCGGAAUAUGUAGUGUAGCGGUGAAAUGCAUAGAUAUUACAUAGAACACCGAUUGCGAAGGCAGGUGACUAACUAUAUACUGACGCUGAUGGACGAAAGCGUGGGGAGCGAACAGGAUUAGAUACCCUGGCAGUCCACGCCGUAAACGAUGGAUACUAGCUGUCCGGAACCUUGAGUUCUGGGCGGCCAAGCGAAAGUGAUAAGUAUCCCACCUGGGGAGUACGUUCGCAAGAAUGAAACUCAAAGGAAAUGCCGGGGGCCCGCACAAGCGGUGGAGCAUGUGGUUUAAUUCGAUGAUACGCGAGGAACCUUACCAGGGCUUAAAUGCAUAUUGACAGGGUCAGAGAUGACUUUUCCUUCGGG
rnacentral:rRNA from 1 species